rnacentral:tRNA from 1 species
GGGCCUGUAGCUCAGUUGGGAGAGCGCCGCGUUCGCAAUGCGGAUGUCAGGGGUUCGAAUCCCCUCAGGUCCACCA